rnacentral:rRNA from 1 species
CUGCUGCCUCCCGUAGGAGUUUGGGCCGUGUCUCAGUCCCAAUGUGGCCGGUCACCCUCUCAGGUCGGCUACUGAUCGUCGCCUUGGUGAGCCGUUACCUCUCCAACUAGCUAAUCAGACGCGGGUCCAUCUCAUACCACCGGAGUUUUUCACACCAAACCAUGCGGCCUUGUGCGCUUAUGCGGUUUUAGCAGUCAUUUCUAACUGUUAUCCCCCUGUAUGAGGCAGGUUACCCACGCGUUACUCACCCGUCCGCCA